GCCGAGAUGGCGGAACUGGCAGACGCGCACGACUCAAAAUCGUGUUCCCACAAGGAGUGAGGGUUCGACCCCCUCUCCCGGCACCA
rnacentral:tRNA from 1 species